AUGUCUUUCAUCUAUAUUAAAACUGAGAAAACAUGAGAGUUUGAAACGGGGCGGGAGCCGGACCCAUUUGUCCACCGCCUCCAUCCUAAUAUAUAACAACACCAAACACAAACACAAACAAGCAAUACGCUCUCUGCUCUCUCUUUUUCAUAGUCGUCUGUUUGUUUGGCUUGCGUCGCUCUGUUUCUAUCCGAUCCUCUCUUCGCAAAGCAAAUUGCAAAGUUGGCCAUGUCGAAUUCCAGAUUUUCAACACCGAAAUCAUCGAGUGAUGAAGAUUCUCUUCCAUACCAGAAAUUUGCUUGUAUUCUCGUACAAGGUUCUCGUAUGGCUUUGGAGUGGUAUGUCUUUAACAUCUCCGACGAUGUUGAGCACAAUCAGGCUCCUCCUCCUCCUGGUCCUAGUCCGUUUCUACAAACAAUAUUUCAUCCAAACUCCCACCAGCAGCCGCAUAUCAAACCUGCAGUGAUUGUACCUUCAGGAAGGAAGUGUUCCGUUUUAGGAUCCAACAACACUUUAUACCAUAUAGCUGGCCGCGAUUAUUGUGCUUCUGGACGCGACGAUUUAGUGUCUCGCUUUGACCUUACCAAUACCAAAAAAUCUAGGCAAGAGUUUCUUCCUCCAAUGCCUUAUGGCGUGUCGUUAGCGCAUGCCCUCUUUCUUGGCAACAAGCUUUAUUGCCUAGGUGGUUAUCAAGAAAACAAACCCUGGGCCAUGGCUUACGACUUGAGUCUUGAUAGAUGGGAUUCUCUAGUGGAUCCUCCUCGCCGUCCCAAAAAUAUUGAUAAUAGUUUUUCAGUGGCUUUAGAGGUCCCAACCCCAACUAUUGUGGUGGGUUCAACUUUGCAGUCUUCUCCUCUCCAAAUCUAUGAUGUGCAUACCAAGUGUUGGAGACGACAUGAGUUUAUAAACAAGGAUGGCUUUUAUCUUUUCCCUCGGGGACAACCUGUGGCUGUUGAUAGCAAGUUUUAUUGGUAUGAAUUCAACUAUCAAUGCCUAGCUGCAUUUGAUGUGGUCACAAACGAGUGGUCAUUGGCCUAUGUCCCUAUACAUGACAGUCAUGAAUGUCUAUUGGAUGGAGAGAUCGAUUCACCUCCGCGCUUGGCUCAUCUAGCCGGUGAUGAUUUCUGCUUGUUUUGGGGAUCCCCCUGCCAGCAUUACGACGAACCUGGUGCCCCUCGUGACAGCGUCACAUCUCGCCUUCACUGCCUGAAGUUUCGUAUUUCCAAAGUUCACCCAAAGCAAGGAUCAACUUUUCGCUUGGAUGCCUCUAUCCUGUCAUGCCAAUCCUACGUUGUGCCUUGGGUAAAGCUCUUUCUUGAUGGCUUCGUGGGGGACGGUCAUUUGGAUUUGGGAUACAACUGCUUGAAAGUUUGACAACAUGAGUGAGUUUGAUUUUGGUUUUGGAGAUUAGUGAGAAUUCAGGGUUAAAAGUUUUGACCUUGAACCUGUUGUAUCGGGAUAAGUAUUUGCAUAGAGAGAGGAAGGGAGGGCUUGGAUUGUUGAUUCCAAAACAAGGACCGAAACAAGUGGAAGUGAAGGCUUAGGAGUUUGGUGUUCAUUUGGUGGAAUUGCAAGGUACAGGUGAACUAUAUGCUAUGAAGGCAAUGGAAAAGUCAAUGAUGCUGAACCGUAACAAGGAAAUAUGGGCUUAUGGUUAAGAUACAGUUUUGUGUGUGGCAAAUGAAUUCUAUACUGAAGGUGGAGUGGCCUUUAAACGUCCACUCUGAAGGAGAAACGUAACAUUUUUGCAAAGUUUCACAGAAUCUAAAACAUGGCCCCAUUUGAGCUAGCUCAAUCUGAUCGUUCUUCUUAACUUUACCAAUCAGGUUGUUGUUGGAAGUGUAUGGAAGAGAAAAAUCAGUCUGUUUUGUAGAGAAAGUUCAUUCUAUUUUGGCUGGAUACAUCUUCGUGUAGGUACAGUAUGAGCUAUCAGCAGUCUGUCAAAUGCUAUGUUUUGCAAGUUUUGAUUCACCCUUUGCUUCAAGUGCAGAGCAGAUCUCAUGAUGAUGAUUUCCAAAAUUCUUGGUUUGUGCAAAGUAAACAUGUGACUUCCUCUUUACUUUUCUAAAUAUUCUUUGGUUCACUAUGACGUCAUAUGAAUGAAAUUACUGCUAUAUGUACUGAUUAGAAUGUACAGGUGGUAGAAUUUCCAGGAAAAUUACUUUUGUCUUGCUCUAACUGUGAAUCUGUUACCCUCUUGGUUGUCUUUCUUUUUUUAUACAAUUC